AUGCACUUUCUUCCCACUCUUCCUCUCUUCUUCCCCCUCUCUUCUUCUUCCUCCUCUCUUUCCCAUCAUCGGCCGCACACCAUUUACCCCCGCUCACAGCUCGCCCGCCCGCGCCAUCUUCCUUGCAGACGCAAAUGCGCUGGCCUUCAUGAUUCCAGGACCUGGAAUCAUACCAGCCGAUGGGAGCUGAUCGAGCACCAUGAGGCCAAAGUGAGUGCUGACAGCGCGAGAUUUCAGUCUCUCAUCGAUUUGUUCAUACCAACCAUCGAGAGCGAGCACAACAUAUGCUACACCCAACUUGAGAAACUUCCAGGCAGAUGGGCAGCAAAAAAGUUUCUGGUGCUGCACACCAACAAGAACUUUGACCAGCAGAGGACCAACUGGGUGAUGCACCAGUACCACCUCGGGCACUUGGAGCAAGAGAAUGAGGGGGAGCUCGUCCUCUGCAAGAUUUUCUACCAGACGAACACUUGGGCCAGGAGUAAAAAGAUUAUAAGUCGAGCAAGUUUCAACUGGGUUGUAGACUGCCCAGGGUUGGUUUUGUUUUUAACAGGCCCAACCCAUGACGACAACGGGGCACAAAGAUCCAGCAGAUGGGACGAGCGCGAGAAGUCCGCCGUGCAGUCUGGACGGGGCGCGUGCGAGCAGUCCGCCGUGCAGGCUCGAUGGGACGCGUGCAUCCUGUCCACCUCGCAGGCUCAACAGGACACGUGCGAGUAG
rnacentral:rRNA from 1 species